rnacentral:rRNA from 1 species
CCUACGGGAGGCAGCAGUGGGGAAUAUUGCACAAUGGGGGAAACCCUGAUGCAGCGACGCCGCGUGCGUGAAGAAGUCUUUCGGUAUGUAAAGCUCUAUCAGCAGGGAAGAAAAUGACGGUACCUGCCUAAGAAGCCCUGGCUAACUACGUGCCAGCAGCCGCGGUAAUCCGUAGGGGGCAAGCGUUAUCCGGAUUUACUGGGUGUAAAGGGAGCGUAGACGGCGGAACAAGUCAGAAGUGAAAACCCGGGGCUCAACCCUGGGAGUGCGUUUGCAACUGGUUGGCUGGAGUGCAGGAGAGGUAAGCGGAAUUCGUAGUGGAGCGGUGAAAUGCGUAGAUAUUAGGAGGAACACCAGUGGCGAAGGCAGCUUACUGGACUGUAACUGACGUUGAGGCGCGAAAGCGUGGGGAGCAAACAGGAUUAGAUACCCGGGUAGUC